UCCCCGUUAACCGGGGCAGUCCCCCCAGAGUCCCCGCCUUGACGCGCUGGCAACUGGGAGCGGGGGUUGCGCUCGUUGCGGGACUUAACCCAACAUCUCACGACACGAGCUGACGACAGCCAUGCAGCACCUGUCUUGGGACUCCGAGGAGGGGCCGUGGUUUCUCACGGCUUUCCCCAAGAUGUCAAGCCCAGGUAAGGUUCUUCGCGUUGCGUCGAAUUAAACCACAUGCUCCACCGCUUGUGCGGGCCCCCGUCAAUUCCUUUGAGUUUCAGCCUUGCGGCCGUACUCCCCAGGCGGGGCACUUAAUGCGUUAGCGCCGGCACUCAGGGGGUCGCUCCCCCAAGCACCUAGUGCCCAUCGUUUACGGCGUGGACUA
rnacentral:misc_RNA from 1 species